rnacentral:lncRNA from 1 species
CAGAGGAAAAAAAAAUCAGCUCACUCGAGUUUACUGAGCAUCUUCUAUGAGCUAAGGGUCAAACGGACAAGACAGCUCCUGGCCAAAGGUGACCAUCCCAGAGACUCCAGCUGCUGUAACCUUUCACCCCAAAAUCCUGAAAUGAGGAUUACUAUCUUCUCACACCUAUAACCCUUUUAUAGCACAGUAGUGAACACCAGCACAUAGUUGGGAUGCUCUAACUUAGCAGACUGUCUGGAACAAAAUAGGUUGUGGUAUAUAUGAAAAAGGAAGGAAAAAGAGUGAAAUAUUUUAUUGAGGGAAUUGAAAGAAAUCAGGAACUAAUUAGAGGUAGUUACGGUAGAUGUCAGAGAUGACAGUAACUCCUAAGUUUCAAGAAUGGUGAUACCAGAAAUAAAAAUAGUAUUAUGAAAUUGUUUUGACAGGACAUGGUGAUUUCAAUCUAAAAUAUGGAGGUGAUAAAUGGACCUCCUAUGAAGGACUGUUACAUUAGUGUCACCCAGUGAUCCAUGGCUCUGGUAGUCAUGCUAUGGGAUAUUCCCCUCCCAUAUUGACUCUGGGCUUGGACAUGUAAGUUAUUUGGCCAAUGAGACAUCAACAUGGUGCAAGCAGAGGCUUGAUGAGCAUUUGUGCAUUGAGGCUUUUCCCCUUGGAACCAGCCAACAUGCUGUAAGGAAGCUCAGGAUAGAUCACUGACUGAUGAGAGGUCACAGGCAGAGAGAGCAGGUCUAUGAGAGUCUACGUUUUUUGUCUUUUUUUGUAGAGACAGGGUCUUACUAUGUUGCCCAGGCUAGUUUCAAACUCCUGGCCUCAAGCAAUCCUUCCAUCUCAGUUUUUCAAAGCACUGGGAUUACAGAUGUGAGCCACCGCACCUGGCCUCUGAGAGUCCAUCUUGCAUGUUUCAGCCACAGCCAAACACCUAUCUGAAGAUAGACACAGGAGUGACCUCAGCAGAAGAACCACUCAGCUGAGCCCAGUCAAUCCUCAAAUUGAUGAAAAAUAACAAAUCAUUGUUGUUUUAAGCCACUAAGCUUCAGGUGUUACACUAGUCAGUAAUAGGUAAUAGAAACAAUAUCCAAAUAAAAAUGUUCAAUAGGACCUUGAUGACAUGGAUCUGGAUGCCAGGCAAGAGAUCUGGGCCUUAGAUGUAAUUCCAUAAGAUAUGUGUGCUUCUGUCAUAGCAAUGACAUUGUAAUGAAAUUGGAUGAUGUAUCCUUCACUAGACUGUGAGCUCUUUAAUGACAGGGACUGGGUUUUUGGUGAUUUCUUAUACACUAUUCUCGGUUCAAAGAAGAUUCUCAAGAGAUCCAUGCUGAGUAAUAGAACAAGUGAAUGAAUAAAGAUAGUGAAGUAUAAUGGAAAAGGAAUAGACUUUGAAAUCAGACAGGCUAGGCUUGAACUUCAGCUCUCUUAAUCACUAAAUGUAUGAUCAUCAGUAAAUCACCAAUCCUCCUUGUAAACUUUAAGUAAUGUGAGCAGCCUCUCAAGAGCCACUGAGAGGAGCCAAUAAACAGAAAACACGCAAUAAAUUAAAGCUUUUCAUAACUGGGGAUGAAUCAAGUGAUCAUUGAAAUGUGGGAAUGAAUGAAAUCAAAAAAAAGGUAAGUAUAGUAAGAGAAGAGUGAUGAGUCUGGGGAGGAUGCAUAGGGAAUACAAGAAAGAAAAUGAUU